rnacentral:rRNA from 1 species
CGAGAUGAGUUCUCCCUGACCCUUUAAGGGUCCUGAAGGAACGUUGAAGACGACGACGUUGAUAGGCCGGGUGUGUAAGCGCAGCGAUGCGUUGAGCUAACCGGUACUAAUGAACCGUGAGGCUUAACCUUACAACGCCGAAG